rnacentral:misc_RNA from 1 species
UCAAACUUGGUCAUUUAGAGGAAGUAAAAGUCGUAACAAGGUCUCCGUUGGUGAACCAGCGGAGGGAUCAUUAUCGAGAGUGAAAACUCCCUUAAAACCACUGUUUAUCUACCUGUUUGUUGCUUCGGCAGGCGGUCCCGGGGGGGCUGUAGCCUGUAAAGGCGCCUGCCGAACGCAUCCAAACUCUGCUAUAACUGUCAUCAGAGUCAACUGAAGAAUAAGUAAAAACUUUCAACAACGGAUCUCUUGGUUUGGGCAUCGAUGAAGAACGCAGC